GAUGAACGCUGGCGGCGUGCCUAAUACAUGCAAGUCGAGAACAGACGAGGAGCUUGCUCCUCUGACGUUAGCGGCGGACGGGUGAGUAACACGUGGAUAACCUACCUAUAAGACUGGGAUAACUUCGGGAAACCGGAGCUAAUACCGGAUAAUAUAUUGAACCGCAUGGUUCAAUAGUGAAAGACGGUUUUGCUGUCACUUAUAGAUGGAUCCGCGCCGCAUUAGCUAGUUGGUAAGGUAACGGCUUACCAAGGCAACGAUGCGUAGCCGACCUGAGAGGGUGAUCGGCCACACUGGAACUGAGACACGGUCCAGACUCCUACGGGAGGCAGCAGUAGGGAAUCUUCCGCAAUGGGCGAAAGCCUGACGGAGCAACGCCGCGUGAGUGAUGAAGGUCUUCGGAUCGUAAAACUCUGUUAUUAGGGAAGAACAAAUGUGUAAGUAACUAUGCACGUCUUGACGGUACCUAAUCAGAAAGCCACGGCUAACUACGUG
rnacentral:rRNA from 1 species